rnacentral:lncRNA from 1 species
GGUAAUAAUACCAUUUCUUCUUAUGAAUAGCUUAGUAGUUAGAUGGCAUAAGAAGAAUUCAAAUUAGGACCCAACAAAAUGGACCCGUUUUCAGGCAGUCUGUAGAUAAGUGGGUUGAAGAAGCACACAGUUCCGUUUCUUAUCCUGGGAUGUUCUGCUGUGCUCUGCAGCCUCAGACAUUGAUGAGUCCUCGGUGAUGCAACUGGCUGAGAUGGGCUUCCCUUUGGAGGCCUGCAGGAAGGCUGUGUACUUCACGGGGAAUACUGGAGCUGAGGUGGCCUUCAACUGGAUUAUCGUGCACAUGGAAGAGCCUGAUUUUGCUGAACCACUGGCCAUACCUGGGUAUGGAGGGGC